GUGUCAGCAGCCGUGGUAAUACGUAGGGUGCGAGCGUUAAUCGGAAUUACUGGGCGUAAGGCGUGCGCAGGCGGUUUUGUAAGACAGGCGUGAAAUCCCCGGGCUCAACCUGGGAACUGCGCUUGUGACUGCAAGGCUAGAGUACGGCAGAGGGGGGUGGAAUUCCACGUGUAGCAGUGAAAUGCGUAGAGAUGUGGAGGAACACCAAUGGCGAAGGCAGCCCCCUGGGUCGAUACUGACGCUCAUGCACGAAAGCGUGGGUAGCAAACAGGAUUAGAUACCCUGGUAGUCCACGCCCUAAACGAUGUCAACUAGGUGUUGGGAGGGUAACCUUUUAGUAACGAAGCUAACGCGUGAAGUUGACCGCCUGGGGAGUACGGUCGCAAGAUUAAAACUCAAAGGAAUUGACGG
rnacentral:rRNA from 1 species